AAAACGCCAGCUGUUACCAU
rnacentral:snRNA from 1 species